ensembl:lncRNA
CCGGGCUUUGCGCACCGGCUCCGUGCUACGGAACUGGAGGGGGUUCCCUACCUACCCGCGGGGAUGCUGCCGGCUCGGUGCGGGGCUGCUGCCACUCAGGGAGCCGAACGGGGGCUGGGCUGGGAGCUGGAAGGGCUCUGGGGUGGGUUUGUUCAGCAGGAUGUGCUGGUCGGGGUCUGCGGGAUUGGCUCUUGCUCUCCUUCAGUUCAGUACAGAGGUUGGUGGGCUACCGCUGUGAAACACCACAUCUUGUGUUGUGGACCCGGGUACCCCCGUGCUCCUCUCCCUCCAGGACCAGCGCAUCCCGCACUGCCCUGCCCCAGCUCCAUCACAGGGCUUCAGCCGGGUGGUGCUUCCAACUGCACAGCGGGAGCACAGCCUCCCUGCAUCCCCAGGGCCACCACAGGGUGCACUCAGGGAGUGUUAGGAUCCAAAGUGUCUGCUGAGAGCCCAGGGCACACUGUAAGGAGUGCGAGGGAAGAGAGGGGUUUCCUCAUAGCCACUAAACACACUGUGAUCAUCAGAGCAGGAAUUGGGGCUGCAAGGAGGCUGAGGCUGCUGAUGCUAUCAGGAGGGAGAAGCAUGGGUGGAAUCUAGUGGAGGAGGACAGCUAAAGGGAGAGUGAUGAAGAGGCCUCGGUAAUCAUCUGUGGCCAAGGACCAAAUUAAUUGCCAGCAAUGAGCACACAGACAUCGGGACAGGCUGCACGGGAAGGUGCCCAGGUGGGUCUCUAUCUGCUGCUGUGUUUCCAUGCAGGCUGAUUCUGUGCCCAGAGGGAAGCACGGACUUUUCCACUCCCAGGCACCCAAGGCGUGCACAUCCUCACAGCCUUUCCAGCAGUCUGGGUUUGUUUAAUGGCAAAUUAAGGCCCUGUUGCAGACACACCGGUUUUGAUGUGAUUUCAAGCCUCAGCAAAGGCUGCAAGCACAGCUUGAAAAUGCGUGUGUAUAUGAAAUACAACCCAAGGCACAGACGCAGAGCUGGCAGCCUGGCUCAUUUUGGUGCCAGCACUUUCCUGUGCAAUGCUUUCUCACCAGGCUGUGCUCAGUUGUCCCUUAUCCCUGCAGCUGAAGUGGGGACCCGGACUGUGCAGGGCUCAGUGAGUCAGGGAUUUUGUCUGGUGGCCAAAAUGCAGCAUGCCCCAGGAUGGUGAUAGAUAACAGUGGCAGAAUGGUGAGUAGGGGUGAAGGGCAGAAGUCCUGACAUGGGUAUGGGCUUCCCAAGGUGGUAGGAGGGAACCUUCCAUCCUGCAGCACCGCACUGUUCAAAAGGUGAGUUUACACCUGGAGACCAGGGAGAAGGGGAGAAGGUGCAGCACAGAGCUGUCACAGGACAGGAGCUCAGGGGGUCACAGCCCACAGGGGUGGCAGUGAGGAGCAGAUGGAAAAAGGAGCAAAAGGGUCCCCAUGAGCACUGUGAGAGCACCCUGGCUCCAGGUGCUGCAGCCUGCUGGUCAUCGGGCCAGGGUUACUCAUCACUGCGUCUGGUAGAUCUUCUCCAGCAGCAGAGGAUGAGUCAAAGAGAACUGGCAGGACUUUAUCUCCAGCCUGCAGAACAUCUGACUGCAUCCUGAUGGGGAAAGCAGGCAGAAAAUGUGAGCGGUUUGGAUCUGGCUGAGCUGGGACACACUCCAUCCCCUGAGAAUGGCUUCUGGCUGCCCUGUGACGUUCGCUGUGUACGGCAUCUCUGGGAUCAGAGGGAAGUGAUGCAGCUCAGCCCUUUGCCCUGCCCUCACUCUCUCUUGGGGCAUCGCUACCCGCAAAGCUUUGUUUGCCAGGUUCUGCUGCCUUCAUUUUCCUGCCCGUGGUGCAUGGGAAAGCUGUGGACUCCGUGGAACACAAACUGCCUACAGACAGCUCUUAGGGCACCUCCUCUGCAGGCAGCCUGGGGCUGCUGCCAUCCCACAGAGUGCUCCAGACAAGGAGCAAGGCAUUAUUUUUCAUGUUUCCCCUAUCUCAAGGACGAGACAUGGACAAACCCCCUGAGCAGUCCCCCUGGGUUGCACUGUCUGCUCUGAAGCACGUAGGGGAGACGUGUCUGUUGUGUCUCCUGCCAGUGCGAAGGGUCAGAUGAGAGAAAGCAGAGAGGGCCGGGGCUGGUGGGGAGCAGCAGGAUGCUUGCUGCUGUAUGGAGGAGCAGGGCAGUGUGGGACACCCCAGCAGUGGGAUGGCUGCCGUGGCGCAUUGGGGUUCUGCAGGGCUGCACCUGGCUGCUGCCUGAGCUGAAUGGAAAUGGCAGGGAUACGGAUGACCUAAAGAGGAGUGGUAAUGAAUGAAGAGAGGUGGGAGAUGCCUUUUGACCUCACACGUAUCAAUAUAUAAAUGCCUCAAAUUCAGAUCCUACUUUGAUUUUUGCCCAGAGCCUGCGCUAAGGUGGAUCCCUUCUCACCCAGACCUUACCCAUAGCCCACCCUGACCAGGAAAUGCUGGUGUGAGUGGUUGGCAUCUGAGCACUCCUCCUCCCACCUCCCCCUUUCCUCUCAAGCAGCUGUGAGAAGCAACAACUCCUUUUCUCUUAUUAUUUCUUCAUCCAUCGAUGCAAUUCCAGGGGUGAGAAGUCCGAAAUAAAAGGUGAGCGAAAAACCUCACACCUCCUCUGGACAUUCCCGCUCACAGAACGAAUAGUUGAAGAUAGAUGGGCCAAGAGCUGCACAGCAAAGAUAGCGAGGAAGGGUUGCAGCCAGGGGAGAGCUGGCGUUGCGGCCCUGCAGCCCGGGCUCCAUCCCAAAAGUUCAGGCUGUGCUCUCCCCGCUCCCCACCACAUGGGCAGGAAGGAGGAUCCUCUCCAGGGGCUGAAGAUGACUCAAAGCGUGUUGUUAAGAGGCUUUCCAGGAAAGAAAGGCAUGGAGAAAAGCUGAGUGUGUCUGGAUAGGGUCAUCGAGGGAGAGAGCAGCAAGGAUCCCGAGCACGUGGAGGUGACCACGUGGCCCACAUGGCACCACUGGUGUCUGGUAGGGGAAUGCUGAGAGAUAAAGAAAAAAAUCCUAACAAGUUUUUGCCUGAUUUCCAGCUGGUAUUGCAGGUCCUGAGGUGCUGCUAGUUCAUAUAUCUAGAAAUCAUCCAAAAUUCCCCUCUCUUCAUCCCCUGGUAUUCAAGGCUUGCUCCACUUUAAGGGAAGAUGGCCAUGGGAACAGCAGCUUUCAGAGAAUCCUGGAAUAGAAUAUCCCAAGUUGGAAGGGACACGUGGGGAUCGUUGAGUCCAACAGGUUUUUUCAAGGAUGCUCUGAAGCACUCAGCCCAAAGGUUUAUGAGCCAGGACUACACAGCCCUAACAUGAUACACAUCUCCCCAAGAAGGCUCCAUCCCCGAUGGCUUAAUUAAUUAACUUCAUGUGAUGCUCACAGUACAGACACCCCCACCAGACAUGCCUGCACACACCAGGUCUGCAGAUGAGAUGGGGGUAAACCCAAACCACUGUCCCGAUUCUACAUUCCCAACCCCCAUGAGUGCAGCGGGGCAAUAGGGGGGGAAGGGGGAUCGUGCCUGGUUUGAUGCUUGGUUGGUUUUUUUUUAGAGGAGUGAUUUUCGGUACGGCUCCCCGGAUUUCUCUGGCGCUAAGCCUGGGGUGCCUCCAGCGGGGCAAAGCGCGGCUCCGAGUCAUCCCGUGGCAAGGCUGCUCUCUGCUGGUAUGGCGAGUGAUGCGACGCGAUGCUUUGCGUUUGAAAUCAAAGUUCGGCUGAAAAUAGACAGUAAAAACGUGGGUGCCGGCAGGGUGAGGAAGCUGAGUCUGCGUCCUUUGGGGUGGAACCCCCGCGUGCCUUUGCUUUCGGCACCCAGCGAUGCUGUGAGCGCAGCACCCACCUCUCGUGGGGCUGAUGCAGCCCUGCAGCCCUCCGGCCGGGCGCUGCGAUCAGCUUUUAGAGUCAUAGAAUCACCAAAUCAGCCCACUUUUAAGGGGCCCUGUGGGAAUUACAGCGCUGCGCCGCGGGAUGGGUAAAACUGCUUUGUACGUGGAAAUGAGGGGUUUGAGGCAUUCGAUGCUGAAGAAGCAGCACUUGCGAGCCACGGGAGCCCUCUCGUGGCUGUGCUCAAUGCAUUUACGUUGGGAUCAUCCAUUCCUCUCCUUCAUCCAGCCCCUUCUCACCCCAGCUCUCCAGCAAACCCAGCCCAGACAGAUCCCCAAGAGCAGCUCCCAACCUCUGCAGGGAAGGCAUUUCCCUGAGGAUGGACUGGCAGGACACGAGCCCAGGACCCCGAUUUAAACCCCAGAUGAAUGUUCCGAGCGAGAUUUCUUCCAACCCGCUUUAAGAGCAAAACGAAUGGAAGUGGUUGCGGGUGCGCGUCGUCCUUCUGCCCUGCGAGCUCUCCGGGCUGCGGGGCGGCACUGACACCCAGCGGCGAUGCUCCGCAGCGGAGGGCUGAGCUCCUCGCUCUGCUUUCUCCCCACCGUCUGCGCCAUGCUGGGAUGAGGGCUGAGGGCAAAGCAACCGGGAUGAACAGACUCAGCAGCCUGGCGCCGCCAGCCCGUCCCCAGAGGGCACAGCAGAGCACCGCAGAGAUUCCCCACAGGGUACAACCCGGUUGUACGAUGGACCUCAUCCCCGUGGCCAAAAACCCUCAGGAGGUGGGUGCUGGGCAGCACGAGCCCAGGGAGACACAGAAGGGCACAAUCACUGCAUGGCUGUGCAGGGCUGGGGACAUACAGAGGGGAAAGACAUUCGCAAGCUGCGAGAUCAAAAGGGUCUUUAAAUCACAGUGACUGCACUAAUGGCUUUCACGUGCUCAGACAGCCCUAUACGAAAUGAAAGCCACAGCCAGUGCUUGUCUAUGGGGUGAAGGACACCAGCACGCCACGCUGAGAGGGUCUGAGGCGUGAAACCCCAGAAAGUGUUGAGGUGCCCCAUUCUGCCCGCAGGAGUCACAGCCAGGCGUGGGUUCGCUGCCUUCGAGCUCGUAACGAGCCCAAUGAGGCUCAUAUCAGCCACGAGGAAUUCCAGCUACCGUGCGCUGAGGGCUGCUAAUGAAAACCAGCGGUGCCUCAGAGCGAAGAGGCAGCCACGUCCUCCGAGAUCAAAGAUGCGGCAAUGAGAGCGGAAAGCAGGGAAUAAAUUGCAUCCUGUUGGAGAGACGUGCCCUGCAUCGCCUGCAGCCUUACCUGGCCUAGUUCAGCGCAGGGGCACCCCUCUGCCUUCCUGCAGCAAAGCCUGGCUGUCAGCAGGCUCCUAAAGCAGCUUUGGGGCUGGAGGAGGCAGAGGCAUGGCUCGCUUUUGGCUGCUGGUCCUGAUUUGUGCUUUUCUGCUGAUUUUCAAAUGCAGAUCUGAACUAUGACAAAGCCCCUCCAGCUGCAGCAGGACAGCUGGGGGAGAGCAGCCAAGGCCGGGUGUUGGGGAAGCACGUUUGAUAUGCAGCCUCUCAGAGAUGUCCCAGGCUGAAGCACACCGUACGUUGUAUUUCUUUCCUCCCUUCUCCUCCUACGGCUGCAGUAAACCACACUUUAAAAAGACAAGAAGCAAUCAGAGCCUUGGCCCCAGGGAGUGCUGCUAUUCGGAGCCUCUGUUUACUAUAUAGGUACGGCUGUGGCUUUUAAGUGGAGAUAAUAAUAGCAAAACAGAUGUAAAUACAUCCUCGUGUCGAGGGAGCGCUGCCUGCAGUGGCCAGGAGCAAUUUCCCAGCCACAGGAAAGCAGAAUUCCCAGGAAGCUGUGAUGCUGCUUCACCCAUUUGGAUCUUUUUAGGAUUAAGCUAAGGACAAAAGAAAAACAAAGGAAAACAAACACAAGUGAGGACAUGGAGCAGGAUAGGACGUGCCACCCUCUGACCGCAGCAGGGACAUCCCAGGAUGUCUCCGUGCUGCACGGGGAGGCCAGGAAUCUCAUGAACUAAUGGGGAAGGAGAGUUUAGGAGGAAAGAAGGAGUAAUCUGUAAGCAGUAAUUUCCCUUGCUCCAUUAGAGUGGGUUGUUCCUGGUGCUAAGCGGGUUCCCAGCCAGGGACAACGUGUGUCUGCCCAUCUCCCAACAUUUGCCAUCUGUGUACACGGGACAGUUCUGCCUGGGGUGCAGUCUGAGACCUUCACACUCACUGACUGCAAGGGAACGUGGAUGUGGAGAUUAAAAAAACAGUUCUGAAAGGGGGAGAUAUGGGCUUUUAAUGAAGUCACGCUUCCCCCAAACGGACAGCAGGAGCUGGCUGCGUUGCUUUAUUCUCCCAGGCAUUUUCCACCAGUCUGAUUUAGCCACCCGAGCCCAUUGCUUUGUCCCAGCCCAAGGAAAGCCCAUGUGGACCCAGCUGUUGGGGCACGGAAACCUCCAUGUUUGACACUGCUGGAGCUCCCCUGGGGGCCGCAGCCCCAUCCCUGGCAGAGCAAAGGACGUGGGAACCGCGGGGCCAGCGCUCCCCAGGCACCUCCUGCCCCGCGGGCUGCACAGAGAUGCUCUGCAGGUGGCAAAGGCCUCGUGCUUCGGAGCCGUGUCCCGAGGAGCACAGAAGGGACACCCGGGGAGGUGGGGGAGGGCUCACCCCGGGGCAACGCCUCUCGUGGUUGGGGGAAAGCGGCAGCAGGACCCCGGGCCGGGGCAGGACCCCGAGCGGGCGGGCGGAGGCUGGCCUGAAGGGGUUAAUGCUGGGAGAGUAACAGGCUGAAGUUGACACUUGGAGGCAGGCGGGGCUCCCGGCGCCUGAUUGGCCUCAAACCCCAUCCAAAAGUGCUUUUUUUUUUUUUUUUUCC